AUUGAUUAACAAUAUAAUUAAAAAUAAAUUUGUAUAUUUGUAUUAACAUGAACCAAUUCGAGAGGUUAACAAAGGUUCUUUUAUCUAUCGUUUUAAGUUCAUUGCGCUAUUAUGAACAAACAUCAACAUAAUUCUGUGGCGUCUAAGCUAAAUUCUUUGUUUUAUUUAAACUAAAAUUGUUUAAAUAUUUUAAUACAAUAUUCAAUUAAUUUUAUAUUGUACUUUGAUCGAAGAUGUUUACUCCGCAUUAGAAUAAAUAUGUGAAUAUAUUGUAUAAAUUACAAACAAUCUUGUCAAACUCGCCAAUAUAUCAGUUAUUUGAUAUUAAAACCAAAUAGAAAAUCAUACUGGAUGUUAUGCCAAAAUAAAAUAAUAUGCAGACAUUAUUUUUACUGACAUACAAUGAAUUUAAUGAAGGCGGAGGUGUACGAUCAUGGAACGAUCGAGAAUCUUAGCGACAGAUAGGCAACACAAAAUGUAUAUAGCGCAAAUGUUCUCGGUCGCCCCAUAAAAGAAUAUUCUAGAACACUAUACACUAUAAAGCGGUGCCACAUCAGUCAAUCAACCAGUCAGUCAUAGGUUAGUUCGCCACAAGUAGACAGUUAGUACACGUAGUGCGUGCAUAUAUUGUAAAUUUUCUAAAAGUUUUUAAAUAAUAAACCGUCUACCAUUUUUCUCUUUUUUA